rnacentral:rRNA from 1 species
ACGAACGCUGGCGGCGUGCUUAACACAUGCAAGUCGAACGGUGAACUCCGCUUGCGGGGGGAUCAGUGGCGAACGGGUGAGUAACACGUGGGCAACCUGCCCUCAGCUCUGGGAUAACUCCAAGAAAUUGGGGCUAAUACCGGAUAUGACCGCUGACCGCAUGGUCUGGUGGUGGAAAGAUUUAUCGGCUGGGGAUGGGCCCGCGGCCUAUCAGCUUGUUGGUGGGGUAGCGGCCUACCAAGGCGACGACGGGUAGCCGGCCUGAGAGGGUGACCGGCCACACUGGGACUGAGACACGGCCCAGACUCCUACGGGAGGCAGCAGUGGGGAAAAUUGCGCAAUGGGCGAAAGCCUGACGCAGCGACGCCGCGUGGGGGAUGACGGCCUUCGGGUUGUAAACCUCUUUCAGCAGGGACGAAGCGAAAGUGACGGUACCUGCAGAAGAAGCACCGGCCAACUACGUG